AAUGGUUCGAGAGAGCUUUCUUCAGUCCACUCACGGAGAGGCGAAGGGAUAUUGAAUUUGGUGCCGACUCAUUCACUCAAACGAAGUAGAGUAUACAAUAGAUUUUUUGUGCUACUACGAAUGUGUGAAUGAUGCGGCACACGAAUUUCAUCCUAUUCUUUUCUAUGCUUGGACUGAAGGGAGCUCCCUUUUUCGGUUGU
rfam:Erythranthe guttata cultivar DTN x IM62 scaffold_198_contig_6, whole genome shotgun sequence.